rnacentral:rRNA from 1 species
UACGUAGGGUGCGAGCGUUAAUCGGAAUUACUGGGCGUAAAGCGUGCGCAGGCGGUGAUGUAAGACAGAUGUGAAAUCCCCGGGCUCAACCUGGGAACUGCAUUUGUGACUGCAUAGCUAGAGUACGGUAGAGGGGGAUGGAAUUCCGCGUGUAGCAGUGAAAUGCGUAGAUAUGCGGAGGAACACCGAUGGCGAAGGCAAUCCCCUGGGCCUGUACUGACGCUCAUGCACGACAGCGUGGGGAUCAAACAGG